UGGGGAAUAUUGGACAAUGGGCGCAAGCCUGAUCCAGCAAUACCGCGUGGGUGAUGAAGGUCUUCGGAUUGUAAAGCCCUUUUAGUGGAGAAGAUAAUGACGGUAUCCACAGAAAAAGCACCGGCAAACUUCGUGCCAGCAGCCGCGGUAAUACGAAGGGUGCUAGCGUUGUUCGGAAUCACUGGGCGUAAAGCGUACGUAGGCGGCUUGGUAAGUCGAUUGUGAAAGCCCCGAGCUCAACUCGGGAACUGCAACCGAAACUGCCUUGCUUGAAUUUGGUAGGGGAUGGCGGAAUUCCUAGUGUAGGGGUGAAAUCCGUAGAGAUUAGGAAGAACACCAGUGGCGAAGGCGGCCAUCUAUGCCAAUAUUGACGCUAAGGUACGAAAGCGUGGGGAGCAAA
rnacentral:rRNA from 1 species